GGCAAGCUCGGCUGCGCCUUCGAGGUCCA
rnacentral:sRNA from 1 species